UAUUAAAAAUUUCAUCCAUUUUUAUUGUUAGAAACUGGCUUGAUUGAUAGAAGAACCAAACAUUUAUACGUUGUAAUGUGUACCUCAUUCUGACGUAUGGGGAUCAGUUUUUAACAAUAGAAAUGGAUGGAAUUUUUAACA
rfam:Gossypium raimondii Chr02_contig_1476, whole genome shotgun sequence.